rnacentral:rRNA from 1 species
AGAGUUUGAUCCUGGCUCAGGACGAACGCUGGCGGCGUGCUUAACACAUGCAAGUCGAACGGAAAGGCCCUGCUUGCAGGGUACUCGAGUGGCGAACGGGUGAGUAACACGUGGGUGAUCUGCCCUGCACUUCGGGAUAAGCCUGGGAAACUGGGUCUAAUACCGGAUAGGAGCGCCUGUCGCAUGACGGGUGUUGGAAAGAUUUUUCGGUCAUGGAUGGACUCGCGGCCUAUCAGCUUGUUGGUGAGGUAAUGGCUCACCAAGGCGACGACGGGUAGCCGGCCUGAGAGGGUGACCGGCCACACUGGGACUGAGACACGGCCCAGACUCCUACGGGAGGCAGCAGUGGGGAAUAUUGCACAAUGGGCGGAAGCCUGAUGCAGCGACGCCGCGUGAGGGAUGACGGCCUUCGGGUUGUAAACCUCUUUCAGCAGGGAAGAAGCGAAAGUGACGGUACCUGCAGAAGAAGCACCGGCUAACUACGUGCCAGCAGCCGCGGUGAUACGUAGGGUGCGAGCGUUGUCCGGAUUUAUUGGGCGUAAAGGGCUCGUAGGUGGUUGAUCGCGUCGGAAGUGUAAUCUUGGGGCUUAACCCUGAGCGUGCUUUCGAUACGGGUUGACUUGAGGAAGGUAGGGGAGAAUGGAAUUCCUGGUGGAGCGGUGGAAUGCGCAGAUAUCAGGAGGAACACCGAUGGCGAAGGCAGGUCUCUGGGCUGUAACUGACGCUGAGGAGCGAAAGCAUGGGGAGCGAACAGGAUUAGAUACCCUGGUAGUCCAUGCCGUAAACGUUGGGCACUAGGUGUGGGGACCAUUCCACGGUUUCCGCGCCGCAGCUAACGCAUUAAGUGCCCCGCCUGGGGAGUACGGCCGCAAGGCUAAAACUCAAAGGAAUUGACGGGGGCCCGCACAAGCGGCGGAGCAUGCGGAUUAAUUCGAUGCAACGCGAAGAACCUUACCUACUCUUGACAUCCAUGGAAUUCUGUAGAGAUACGGGAGUGCCUUCGGGAACCAUGAGACAGGUGC